UACGAAGGGGGCUAGCGUUGCUCGGAAUCACUGGGCGUAAAGCGUCUGUAGGUGGUUUAAAAAGUCUACUGUUAAAGCUUGAAGCUUAACUUCAAAAAUGCCGUAGAAACUUUUAAACUUGAGUAUGGUAGGGGUAGAGGGAAUUCCAGUGGAGCGGUGAAAUGCGUAGAUCUUGGAAAGACCACCAAUGGCGAAGGCACUCUACUGGGCCAUUACUGACACUAAGAGACGAAAGCUAGGGGAGCAAAUGGG
rnacentral:rRNA from 1 species